AGCUCCAAUAGCGUAUAUUAAAGUUGUUGUGGUUAAAAAGCUCGUAGUUGGAUCUCAACAGCCUUGAAGCGGUUAACUUUGUAGUUUUACUGCUUUGUAGGCUGUGCUUUUGCUGGAGGUUUAGGGGUGCUCUUGAUCGAGUGUCUCUGGAUGCCAGCAGGUUUACUUUGAAAAAAUUAGAGUGCUCAAAGCAGGCUAAAAUGCCUGAAUAUUCGUGCAUGGAAUAAUAGAAAAGGAUGUCCGAUCUUAUUUGUUUGUUUUUGGGACUUGACAAAAAUGAAAAAUAGGGACGGUGGGGGCAUUUGUAUUCAAACGACAGAGGUGAAAUUCUUGGACCGUUUGAAGACAAACUACUGCGAAAGCAUUUGCCAAGAAUGUUUUCA
rnacentral:rRNA from 1 species